ensembl:snoRNA
CCUUCUGUGAUGAUUUUAUCAAAAUGACUUUCGUUCUUCUGAAUUUGCUGAAGCUACGUUCAGGUGCUGAGAGGG